CUGAGACAGGUGCUGCAUGGCUGUCGUCAGCUCGUGUGGUGAAAUGUUGGGUUAAGUCCCGCAACGAGCGCAACCCUUAUCCUUUGUUGCCAGCGGUUCGGCCGGGAACUCAAAGGAGACUGCCAGUGAUAAACUGGAGGAAGGGGGGGAUGACCUCAAGUCAUCAUGGGCCUUACCAGUAGGGCUACACACGUGCUACAAUGGCGUAUACAAAGAGAAGCGACCUCGCGAGAGCAAGCGGACCUCAUAAAGUACGUCGUAGUCCGGAUUGGAGUCUGCAACUCGACUCCAUGAAGUCGGAAUCGCUAGUAAUCGUAGAUCAGAAUGCUACGGUGAAUACGUUCCCGGGUCUUGU
rnacentral:rRNA from 1 species